CGUGUAGGCGGCUUGGUAGGUCCGCUGUGAAAACUCGAGGCUCAACCUCGAGAUGUCGGCGGAAACCACUUGGCUAGAGUCCGGAAGAGGAGAGUGGAAUUCCUGGUGUAGCGGUGAAAUGCGCAGAUAUCAGGAAGAACACCUAUGGCGAAGGCAGCUCUCUGGGACGGUACUGACGCUGAGACGCGAAAGCGUGGGAGCGAACA
rnacentral:rRNA from 1 species